AUUGAACGCUGGCGGCAGGCCUAACACAUGCAAGUCGCGCGAGCGGCGGACGGGUGAGUAAUGUAUGGGAAACUGCCUGAUGGAGGGGGAUAACUACUGGAAACGGUAGCUAAUACCGCAUACCAUCAGAUGAGCCACAAAGGGAUUAGCUAGUAGGUGGGGUAACGGCUCACCUAGGCGCCGAUCCCUAGCUGGUCUGAUAGGAUGACCAGCCACACGGGAAGUGUGACACGGGCCAGACGCCGACGGGAGGCAGCAGUGGGGAAUAUUGCACAAUGGGCGCAAGCCUGAUGCAGCCAUGCCGCGUGUAUGAAGAAGGCCUUCGGGUGGUAAAGUACUUGCAUGCGGGAGGCGUUACCCGCAGAAUAAGCACCGGCUAACGCCGUGCCAGCAGCCGCGGUAAUUC
rnacentral:rRNA from 1 species